ACGAGAUCACCAUACCCCCGUGCUAGGGUUCCGUCCGCCGCCGCGCCUCACCCUCCGCUCCCAACAACGCUCCCUACUCUCCCGUCCCCUUGCAGUUGCCGUCGUAAUCUCCCGUCGCCGGUCAAUAGCCCUGAAGAAGCCCCGGCCUCCGGCUCCCUGGAGCACGCCGCUCGCCGGCAGCCACGAUUGAACGCCGGUGGACGCCAUAAUUGUGUGAGACCCCGCCGCGGCAACUCAACUCGCCACCGCUGCACCAGUCAAUUUACCUUGUCGCCACUGCGCCUCCCCAAGCAUCUUCGCAAUGUGCGCAAGGAUACCGCUGCCUUUCCGUGGCACCUCUGUCUCCACUUCCCCGUGGCGCUGCUCGCCGGCUCCACAACCAUGUCCUCUCCAAUCCAGUGUGGCUCACGAACUGCUGCAGAGAUGAUGCUUGUCGGAUCCCAUGCAGGCCCUCCUUGCGGACAACCUCCAGCCCACACCAGUUCCCCUGUUCUGGCUGUGCCACCUCCCAUGGCUGAGCAGAGCAAGGAGAUCGAGAGAGAAAAUACUCAAUUGAUUUUACAGGGCAUGGAGAUUGUUUUUGAUCUUUUUGGUUGUUCGCGGAUUCAAGGGUAAUGGCUCCCACACCUUUCCCCAAUGUCUAGGCAAAGGCCAGUCUGUUUCAAAAAAAAUUGUAGCUUGACCGGGCUGAAGGAAGGAGAUGCUAUGCAAACCGAGAAUGAGCAUGACAAGCAAAGCGACAAAUCAAUUGUGCUGCCGGAUGUUGGCUGGGUGAUUGAUCAAUAUAGAUGGAAGCUUCUUGAGGAAAGCCAAACAAGGGGCUGGGACUUGAUAUUUACAGUUUCGGGUGCAGCAGUGUUGCUAGCAUCUUUUUUCUUGCAUCUAUAUACUGAUGAUGCUUUAUUUGGUGUUGUUUCCCGUGGCACUACAUUAUGGCUUUCUUGACAAUGAUUUUUGCUGAUGUGAUAGUUUAUUUUUAUUUUUUCACUUUCAGUGUAAGGUAAGUGCAAGUAAAACUUCAGUUUCACAUUGGCUAAAUCAGUCAAUGUUGUUUAUGCUCCGGCAGCAGUAGAGGAAUAGAGCUGGCAAGGAAGGGAUCUGUUGGUGGAAUUAAUAGGGAAAGUAAUUCAUGAAGUGCCUGGUUGGACCAAGAGGUAAUUCACUGUUUUCUGUGUACCAUGCAGACCUCCCUGUUUUCCGUGUACCAUGCAGUAGUUGAUGCAGACUAUUUUUGCGCCCAAAUACCAACAUGGAUUAGGCGUUAGUAGUUUCUGAAUUGUAGUGUAGAAAACAUUGUGUAGCUUAUUGCGGUAGCAUUUUUUAUGGACCAAUUUUGUGUUUGAGGCCGAGGUUGGGGGCGCAACUCCUGACGGGGCACCAUGCCCUACGAAGGUACAAGUGGCUCAUGAGUUCAUGGCAUGGUUGGCGCUGGAAUGACAAAGAAGAUUAAUGGGGUUGAUUGUGAGCAUGCUACAACUGAAUGGCAAGUAGAUAGUCCUAUGAUUUCUGAUGGAUUGGAGAUGGGAGGGUGUGGUCACUGGUUUCUGUAUUUUUUUGUUCGAGCAAGGACAGCGGAAGGAUCUGUUGUCCAAUAGGAAAACCUAAGCGACGAUACUGAAUCAUGAGAUAGGACACACGAGCUUGCAAUGGUUGUAUUUGAGUGCCUGGCCACGGUGGAAUUUAGUACGGGCUCUCCUCUACGCCCUAGAGUAUUCUUUCUAUUUAUUUAAUUGAAUAUGAGAAUCCACCCAGGGAACCAACAUCCAUCUUCUGAUCUUUGCCUUGCCUUGAGUGCAAUUUCAGCUUGUCCGGUAGUGCUCAUGACAAAUAUCUACAAUGAAGAACGAAAUACUUGGAGAUAGGCUACCAAUUCGGUAAGAAUAAUAGAAUAUAGAUGUCAUGGAUCUGCUUUUAACUAUUACUGUGCUUAGAUUUGAUCACCCGUUUUUGGGCUGUACUGCAGCCUAAAUGUGCUCCUGCUUGCUGUUGCUAAACAUUUAUAUUUCCUGAUAGAUUAUGAUCCCCCUCCCCCCUUUACUCAGUUUGGGCCUGCUUGAGCGGAUGCAUACUAAAUUGUAAAAGAAGAGAAACUGAAUAACUGAAUAUGAUGGCAGGUGUUCGACUCAGGUUUAGACAUUGGGGCACGUGAUGUGUCAAUCAAACAUACUAUAGCCCUCAUAUAACGGAUGAUGCUGUUUGCAAAUUAAGAAUUGAAUGAUGCAAAGAGAUUCAUGAUGUAGAAGAACUUACAAGGAUGCCCCUAUAUAAUCGGCCCCACAUUGGCUUGAAGAGAUGCAAAUGUUUCAACUUCGCCGGAGGUUCUAUGUUGGAAGUUGUGUGUGUGGGUGGUUCAAGAUCCAGAGGUUAGCUAUUCCUUGCAGCUUAUAUCAUGGAACGGGACACCACUGAGGGUUUUCUAAGUCAUUGCCAGAGUCUCAUAAUACCAUAUCCUCUUGGGGUCGUCCUAUACUGGGUCCACACUAUUGUCGCCUAUGUCGUCCCGGUAAAUAUAUAGACAAAGGAGGUACAUGGUUUGCUUCUUUCAAGACAAUAAGCAAGUUAUAUGAACAAAUUGCAUUACAUGUACUCCCUCCGCUCCUAAAUACUAUACAUGAAAGUUGCACUUGGAUUCCAUAUCUUGCAUUAAUUCUUCAAACAAAAAAUCUGCAGUGUGUGCAGUGGAUGAGGAUCAUCCAGCACGCUGCUGGCCAUUUGAUCCUGUGACGUGCUAGCUGGAACCUCCUUGACAAGCUGCUUGCUGGAUGAGAGGGCGACUUAGGACAUGAUCAAGUUUGCCCAUAUCGUUUGGUUGCAAUUUUAUCAUACUAGCAAAUUUGUUUGAGUUGAAACUGAAUGGAAUUCAUGAGAAAACUGCAGGAUGUUGAGUGUGAGGCGACCGAAGAGACCAAAUUGUUGAGGCGACACGGGUCAAAGCGGAGGAGCAGGGCAGCUCAAGUUCAUAACCGGUCAGAGAGGAUGAGAUCAGAAUCAGAUGCUACCCGUGUCGUAAUGUUACAAUCGAGCAAGGGGGCUUGUUCUUGGAUUGUUUCUUUCUUUGGUAGGACAAGGUAGUUCUCUAGAUUAUAAGCAUAAUAAUUACUUGCAAGUUGUCAAGAAUUAUUUGUUUUGCAACUAUAAGAUGAUCAGACAGACUCAAGGGUAUAACUUGUAAUAUGACAGUUCUUGAAUUAGUUGUUUCAUGCCAUUUGAAAUGUUUUACAUAACACAUUGGACAGUAUAGUUAAAUGGUUGGUUUCAUUCGUUA